AUUGAACGCUGGCGGCAUGCCUUACACAUGCAAGUCGAACGGCAGCGGGGGAGAAGCUUGCUUUUCCUGCCGGCGAGUGGCGAACGGGUGAGUAAUACAUCGGAACGUGCCCUGUAGUGGGGGAUAACUAGUCGAAAGAUUAGCUAAUACCGCAUACGACCUGAGGGUGAAAGUGGGGGACCGCAAGGCCUCAUGCUAUAGGAGCGGCCGAUGUCUGAUUAGCUAGUUGGUGGGGUAAAGGCCUACCAAGGCGACGAUCAGUAGCUGGUCUGAGAGGACGGUCAGCCAACCUGGGACUGAGACACGGCCCAGACUCCUACGGGAGGCAGCAGUGGGGAAUUUUGGACAAUGGGCGAAAGCCUGAUCCAGCAAUGCCGCGUGUGUGAAGAAGGCCUUCGGGUUGUAAAGCACUUUUGUCCGGAAAGAAAUGGCUCUGGUUAAUACCUGGGGUCGAUGACGGUACCGGAAGAAUAAGGACCGGCUAACUACGUGCCAGCCGCCGCUGUAAGAC
rnacentral:rRNA from 1 species